CCACCAUUUCUGAGCCCAGAGGAGA
rnacentral:piRNA from 1 species